GGGGGGGGGGGGAUGGGGGACGUCAGGGUGGCUCCGAGCUGUGCUCUUAGCAGCUCCUACCUGGGGAAGGCCUCUGAGGCCCGUUGACCCUCUGGGUGCUGCUUCAGAGAGCUCAGCCCCAGGCCAUGUGACCCCACGCGAGUCCCCUGGCUCUCCAGCCCGUCUUCUCUGUAAAGCUGGGCAGUAGUCUACACCCUGUCCCUGCUCUGCGCUCUGGGACUCACCUAUCCUUUCUCUCCUCUCCUGGGAUGGGUGUUGCUCUCUGCUGGGGAAGUCUUCAGGGCUAUGUAGCCCAAGGCGGCCUUACCUUUGCAAGGCCCACCCACGCACAGCACAUCAUUGUUUGGGGGAGGGAAACUUACAAGGGUAUUACUGUUUUGCUUGUGAAAUGAUUUGGCUGUAACUCUUUGGGCACGUGAUUUUUCACUGUACAUUCAGGAAUUCUUGCAAAGUGAGAAAAACCUAACCCAUGGUUUCCAAAUGUGAUGGAAUUAUUUUGAAAAUUAUGUUUAUAACAGUUGAUGGAGUUGACUUAAUGAUACACUGUAUACAUUCAGUGAAGCAUUUGUUUUGAUUUUGCUGUUUCAUCUUGGAGCCAACACAUGUUUUGGUUUUUUCCCCAUAGCUCAGACCCUUUGCAGGUCCUGAAAGGCCCACAGGGCCCAGAAGGCAGCGGGGCCCCUGACAUGAGGAUUUAGAUCGAGUUGCCCUGUUCACUUUGUACCCAAAGGCUCAGCCGAGACGCUGCGGAGGGAGAAUGCAGUCCAAAGACUGUUCGGUUGGAACAGCAUGAAAACACAUUGGGAAGUCUUGUGCAGAACUGUUGGUUUUUUCCUUGAGAGAAGCAGUGUCAGCGCUUCUUCCCACAGUCGUCCUAGGAGAGCUUGCGCCCUGUGCCUGCUCCCUGAGCCUUGGGCCUGCCCCAACUGAGGUGGGAGGUAGAUGUUUUUGCACUUGUGUAGUGUGUGUUCACACAUUAAGAAUCUGAUCUUUGUUAACGUGUGGCAAGGUCAGCGCUGCCAGAUCAGGAACGAGUCUCUGCUGAUUUUUCGGAAGUUGUUGAGAAGUAUAUUUUUGGUCUAGUAAAUGUUAUUUCUAGACUCAUUUACAAUUCCUAUACUUAAUAUUCUGCCUGGCUCUGCCCGUUCUGGCCAUCAGCCUGCCAGAAUGGCGUUUCCAGAUUAAACACAACGUGCAGCCUUCAAUUCCUGGCCAGUCCCACGUUUCCGGAAAUGAAAGGAAGGCAGAUGCAGAGUUUACUAGGAAGGCCGUGGGCGUGGCUGGGGGCCUGCUGUGAACACAGGGCAGGGCUGCACAUGUGACCUUUGCCUUACAGUCUAGCACUCAUGCCUAGAAAGCCACAGCGGUGACAUUCCACACGAGGCUGUUGACCAUUCCCAGUGCCCCUGGGCUCCACGCCUGCGCUGGCCCACUGGUAACGAGAGAAACAUUACUGAGUCCAGAUCAUGAGUUCCCUAAAACCAAAUGAGGGCCCAGUCGGGCAGUCCUACUCGGGAUGACGAAGCUCACACCGGGGGGGAGUCAACCCAAGGCAGUGAGGGCUGGCAGCAGGAGGGGCCCUUGGGCCCCGGAGGUCCAGGAAGACCCAGUGGGGUUCCUGCCUCAGCCAAGCGGUUAGCCUUUCCCUGCAGGGGGGCGGUGUCCACACCUUCUCUGUCUGGCUGUGAAGUGCUGGGGCUCCGCCGGCCUGGUGCUGGGGCCUGUGCCUACCUGGUGGGAGGCUUGGCAAGGAGGGCCCCUUGCAGCCUCUUUGGGGACUCAGCCUGCUCUCAGAAGGCCCUAAGACUGUGCUGGUGCGGGCAAACCCCUCUGCCGUAAAUGCUCAGUAUGAAACGCUGACCCCUCCGCUCGGCAGGGAGGCAGGGGAGGGCCCGCUUACCAGCUUCCUUCUCUGUGGAGUCGACUUCCUUCUGAUGAAGAGCGUGGAGUCCUCCCCAUCGUGCUCCUCCUCCCCUGACCUCCCACCCCUGCUGCCGGAGUUGGCCUCCUGGUCACCGUCAGCAUUCCCUCCCCCCGUGGCCUUUCCUGUCCCUGCUGCCAGUGUCCACGGGCUCAGGCAGAGCCGUAGCUCAGCCGGUUAACACGUCCCUCUGUCCCCACCUAAGGCUCCUGGGGAACAGGGUUGCUCUUCACAUCUGUCCCGAGGCGCCUGGCUUGCGCUUUGCCCUGGACGGCUGCCCCGGAUGGUGCUCUGGGAGAGGUGGUGCCGAGACUGACCACAUUCCACACUGAACCAAAACGGGUAGCAGGCCCUGCACCCUCCGUUGACGGUGCUGACGUACCCGUGCCUGGCCAGGGCCGUCCACCACACUUGCUGGGAGGGGCGGCUUGCUGGAGUCUCCCAGUCAGGACUGGCUGAUAAGGAACGUGGAGAUUUGUCCACCGCCAUCCCCCCAAAUCCUAGCCUUUCUGCUCCUCCUGUUCAUCCAUGUGUCUGCCUCCACUAGAGAGUGGGCCCUCCAAGGACAGGGCUGGACAUGCUGACUGUGGAUGGAUGGACAGACCAGCUGUGAAAUGGUAAAAGUGUUCUAAAUAAAAGGAUUGGCUUAUAGUAUCAGAGGACUUUGUUUCCAGAAACCUAAUCUGACCUUUGUAAAGAUCCCACCUCAGGGUUCUCCGUGUGUGCAGACACCCAGGGCGUCAAACUGCGGGUGUGGGGCUGGGCAGAGGAGCUCUCCUCGCUGGCUCGGGACCACCUUGUCUCCCAAGGACCCGAUAAGCUGGUCCCAGGACAGCGUGGGAGAGUUGGGGCAUCCUGACAGCCAUCUCCGGCUGAAGCUCUGUGGGACCAUUAAAAAGGUUUUGUGGGGCUGGUCAUCUCGGCUGCCUCCUGUACCCACAUCUGUAUACCUGCGUGUCUUCAGGCUUUGCAGUGCAUAUUGGUCUCUAACAAAACACCCAUUUCUAUCCUGGGGUUAAGAGAAGCGGUAGGAAAAGCUGAGCCACCCAGCGCUCAUGACCUGCCCUGGUCUCCCGGCUCUGGGCUGUCUGGUGCCCACGGCCUGCCCAGGAUGAAGGUGCACUGUGCGGCAGUGGAGGUGGCCCCAUAGCCCUACGCCCAGAAGCUGAGACGGAGUCAGGUCCCACCAACAGCCCAGGCCCUGGGGUUUGAAGAAUGUCAGUGUGGAAGAAGACCCUCCCCAGAGCAGUGGACAAGACUUCACCCCUCCAAUUCCUCAUCUCCUCUGAAAACUGAGGAGGUGAGCUCCUUUGCGAUCCUGAAGUCUGUUCUUUGACGUGUGUGCCUGCGUGUGUGUUUCUGGGAAGAGGGUCCAGCGGCUUCCAUCCUGUUCUCCGAGGCCAGGUGGAUUUAGAUGGGGAGAAGCGGGUGGGGAAAGAGCCUGGCUGUUCCAGGGCUCCAAGGUGUGUGGUGGCAGACCUACAGGCUUGGGGAGCCAGGCUCGAGUUGGGGUUACAUUCUUAAUCCCGGCUCUCAAAUUCAGAGAGUUCGAACCUGGAAUUUAAAGAAAUAACUGUUUUCACUGUCUCUGCUAACAUUUAGCAUUUCCUUCCACUAUGAAUGUCGGCGGCAGGCCACGGUGGCAUUGGCAGGACCCGUGGAGAGCACAGGUGCGUCCUGGCACGUGGCGGGUGGAGACCUCACCUGUGCUCGGCUGCACGCCGGUCACGGUCUGUCAGACCUGUGCAGACGGUGCCUGUUCUGGUAAUGGUCUCUGUGUCCCUGCGUGUCCUGUGUAUCGCGUCUUGCGUUUGCAAGCCGCCUCAGAGGGGUCCCCAGGCCCCACCGCUUGCACAGGCGUCCGGAUCCAGGAGCUGUGCUCUGUGAGGAGCCUCCGCUGCCUGGAACAGCCGCUCUGGCCGCCGCUCUCCCUGUCCUCCAGGAGCUCACUUACAUCCGGCCGUGAGCUCCUCGAGGCCAGAGCCCGCGUCUGCCUCCACUCAGCGCCGCCCGAGACCCCCGCUGAGCGCAGGGCCCCGCGGCCCCUGUCUCCUGGCUGCUUCUGUGGUGCCUCAAAGCAGCAGCUUCGCCAGUGUCCGCGUGCAUGUUUUCUGAAGUUGCCGUUUCAGCCUGGAUGCUGCAGACAGAUGAAACGGGGAAACUGUCCCAUUUGUGCGGUAGCGGAGGACUCACUGUACUCUGCAUGUCAGCUUGGGCAGGUAUCUUAGGGUGGUAAGGGGGACUUUGGGGAAAUCAGCCUGAGAAGGAUGUGACAGGUUCGUCCCCGCGCAUUUUAUCUCAUCGGCUCUAGCGAGUCGCCUGGGUGUUGCUGUGAGUGUCUGGUGGCUGAAAAGGCCUGUUGGUCCUGGUUCUGCAAGCAUGUCACUGAGGCUCCCGGGAAGGGGGCACGCGAGGGGUCCGUAUUGCCUCUCACAGCUGCAUGCGCGUUUGCUUAUUUCAAAAUAAAACACUGUAUUGAAAAAUUA